AACGAACGCUGGCGGCGUGCCUCAUACAUGCAAGUCGAACGCGAGGCUCCCCGCAAGGGGAGUAGUAGAGUGGCAAACGGGUGCGUAACACGUAGGUAAUCUGCCUUCGAGUUGGGGAUAAACCCUCGAAAGGGGGUCUAAUACCGAAUAACAUUUCGGGCCGGCAUCGGCUUGAAAUUAAAGAUGGCCUCUGCUUGCAAGCUAUCACUCGAAGAUGAGCCUGCGUCCGAUAGUUAGUUGGCGGGAUAAAAGCCCACCAAGACUCCGAUCGGUAGCCGGCCUGAGAGGGUGUCCGGCCACACUGGGACUGAGAUACGGCCCAGACUCCUACGGGAGGCAGCAGUAGGGAAUAUUGCGCAAUGGCCGCAAGGCUGACGCAGCAACGCCGCGUGGGGGA
rnacentral:rRNA from 1 species